rnacentral:lncRNA from 1 species
CUCCUUCAUCCUGAUGGUCAAUGCUGCAGGGACGGUGGCAGAAGCUUGGUUGAUUCAGCCUGAGCCACUUGAUCCAUACCAUACAUGCCUGCAUCCAAGUCCAACCAGGUGACCAGAUAGCUACGAGUAGGUGGCAAAUGGGGCUUUUGCUGGUUGCAGCCCAGUCCCGUCCGGGCCACCUGCCAAUUGGGAUUGUUGGCCAUCCUUUUAUUUGGCUAGCGAUCGGCGAUCUCGUGCCUUUCUCCACCGUGCACAUCCUCCAU